CACACAAUGCUUUGUGAUUUCCGCAGGUGGACGUGCAAGCCCUGUAUUCGUUUUGUUGCCUGCUCACAAGCAUCCGUUCGAAAACUGGCUUACAAUCGUUGCAGAAUCCAGCAGACUCGAUUUCACGAGUGCAUGCUGAGAACAACAGUAUAGGAAGAAAAUAUAUCACCGAUGAGAUUGUUACAAUGUGUACCACUAGUUUGUUUUCUCGCCUACGUAUCAUUUGCACACGGGCGAGGAAGAGGAGGAUGCUCACUCAAACCAAAACAUGGAAAUUGCACGCCAAAGCACAGGAGCUGGUAUUACGACAAGGAUGCGAAUGAAUGCAAGGUUAUGUUGAUUGGUGUAUGCCCAAGGAGACUCAACAAUUAUUCGUCUUGUCAAGAGUGCUGGAAGCGAUGUGAUCCCAAUAAUAGUAAGG